ACAUGCUUUAGAGUUGAUUUAUCUGAAGUCUGAUUGGCUAAUCAAAGGCCUUCCUUUUUAACCAGUUGCCUGGCUUGGGGUUGGUUUGGGAAUUGAACACAGAAUCACAUUCCUUUAACCAAUAUUACUGCCAAGUAGGGUCUGAAUACCUAUAUUAAGCUCUCAUCUGAUAAGGGAAAAUUAUAUUCUAUGCAGACAUUUAAUAUUCAAAAAAGAAACAAGAACAGGUUUAUAAAAAUUGUAUAGAGGGCUUCCCUGGUGGCACAGUGGUUGAGAGUCCGCCUGCCGAUGCAGGGGACACGGGUUCGUGCCCCGGUCCAGGAAGAUCCCACAUGCCGCGGAGCGGCUGGGCCUGAGAGCCAUGGCCGCUGAACCUGCGCGUCCAGAGCCUGUGCUCCACAGCGGGAGAGGCCACAGCAGUGAGAGGCCCGUGUACCGCAAAAAAAAAAAAAAAAAAAAAAAAUU